ACGGCCACAUCACGUUGAAACACGGAUUCCGUAAGAUCAUCGAAGUUAAGCAACGUCGAGCCUGGUCAGUACCAAGAUCGGUGAGCGCUUAGAAAUGCCAGGUACUGUAAG